AUUGAACGCUGGCGGCAGGCCUAAUACAUGCAAGUCGAACGAGAGGCGGACGGGUGAGUAAUGUCUGGGAAACUGCCUGAUGGAGGGGGAUAACUACUGGAAACGGUAGCUAAUACCGCAUACCAUCAGAUGUGCCCAGAUGGGAUUAGCUAGUUGGUGGGGUAAGGGCUAACCAAGGCGACGAUCCCUAGCUGGUCUGAGAGGAUGACCCGCCACACUGGAACGUAGACCCGGUCCAUACUCCUACGGUAGGCAGCAGUGGCGAAUAUUGCACAAUGGGCGCAAUCCUGCUGCAGCCAUGCCGCGUGUAUGAAGAAGGCCUUCGGGUUGUAAAGUACUUUCAGCGGGGAGGCGUUACCCGCAGAAGAAGCACCGGCUAACUCCGUGCCAGCAGCCGCGGUAAUAC
rnacentral:rRNA from 1 species